rnacentral:tRNA from 1 species
GGCCAGCUAGCUCAGUUGGUUAGAGCGUGGUGCUAAUAACACCAAGGUCAUGGGUUCAAGCCCUAUGCUGGUCA